rnacentral:siRNA from 1 species
GGACUCGGAGCAGGACUCGACGGA